GACCUCCCCUCCACAGCAGGGCAGAGGCUGAGGCUGCUCCCCCAGGAUUAGGCUGGGGCCAGGGACAGUCUCUGAAAUGAAGCCACCAGAAGAAGCCAUGCCAAGCAUAGAAAAGGAGCUGCGAUUGACACAUGGCCUUUUAAACCUGGUGUUGGUGCUCUGGAUGGCCCUGGUGCGACAGCUCGACUUCCCACCACCAGUGUAUACAUAGGAAGGGAGAGUCCCAGGCCAACUUGCUCUAAGACCGUGACUUGCUCCAAAGCUCUGUAGGUAACACUUGGAAAGUACCCUGUGGGAUAGGCUGCUUCAAACACCUGUCUUUGCAUUACCACAUCUGAAAGAGCAUCGUGCAGGUAACAGGGCACCUCAGCUGUAACCUGCUCGAGGCACUUUUCACAGAUGAGGGAAUUUGCAGUAACUCUAACAGAGUUCUCAGAAAGUUGGGAGUGGCAGACCUGGAGGAAAAACAGGCCUGGCGGGUCAGUGGGGUCAUGGGCGUUUAGAUGUGGGGUGGAGGUCUCUUUCCUUCCUUCGGUCUCCUUUCUACCUAUCUUUACUCUAUCACACCUCAAUAAAAGGGAGAGCAGAACAGCCAGGGCUGAGCAGAGGUGAUGGGGCCGAGGAUGAGAGAGGAACAGUGUGCUGUGAAGACAGGAGGGACCAAGCCCUGGCUGUCCGCGUGCGGCAAGCUGGGAAAAGUGGGGGCGAGUCCCUCCUCGGAACUCCAGAAGGAGCUGAGCUCUCUGAUCUGACCCAGAUGGAACUGAAUCCAAGCUUCUGACCUCCAGGCUGCAAGAGAUCAAGCUGGUGCUAUUUUUGACCACCAGGUCAGUGGAGGUGAUUUGUUAUAGCAGCAACAGGAAGCCCAUACACAGUUGAAGCCCAGCAUAUUUCAGCAGCUGGCCCAAUGCCAGAAACACUUAUUCAUAAACUAUUUCAAAAAAUGCAUUGCUAAAAACAUCAGAGACACUACAGCAGUUUUUGGCUGAGCAUAUGAAUAUCAAAGGCCAUUUGCCGUUCGGAGAGACAUAUCUGAAGCCCGCUCUUACUGGUGGUCUACCGCUUUGCUUUUUUUUCCUAAAGGAAAAGCCAGUGAGACAAGAAAAGUGCCCUUCAAGGAAAGUGCUUGUUCAGCAGUGCACCCAGGAAGCUCUGCUUUGUGUCUGUCCUGGCUCCAACUCGCCAAGGAAGAACAGAAGAUGGUGUCCCCAAGCGACAUCUGCUGCUGUCCUUGGUGGCCGCUGGCACUGCACUCCAGAUUCCUCUCUGGUUUCUUUCCCUAAUUCUUGGAAAAAUGUAACUGAUUCGUCAUAGGGAAUUUGGUUUUGUUUUCAUUACACCAACACAGUUUUCAGGGGAAAGGUGGAAUAAAGCAAAAAUUUGCAGUC